GGAACAUCGUCGCUGGAUUCAGGUAAGUCACUGAAGGGGUUUUAACCCCUUCAGCAACAUGGGCAGGGUCAGCACGUCCAUACGGCUGCACAGGCGGCCGCCUUAGUGCGCAAGAGCAGGGGGGCAAAAAUCCGAAUCCCCUGCCUCUGGCUCUGUCUCUGGCUGGGGACUCGGAUUUCUCAACUCACCUCGCUCUCCCAGCAGCCAAC